AACUUUCAACAAAGGAUCUCUUGGCUCUCGUAUCGAUGAAGAACGCAGCAAAGCGCGAAAUGUAAUGUGAAUUGCAGAACAUUGUGAAUCAUCGAAUCUUUGAACGCACAUUGCGCCUCCUGUAAAUGGGAGGCAUGCCUGUCUGAGCGUCAUUU
rnacentral:rRNA from 1 species